rnacentral:piRNA from 1 species
UGCCUCCUGAGUGCUGGGAUUAAAGGUGU